rnacentral:rRNA from 1 species
ACUGGAUGGGGGUGGAUGACUUGGCUCGUGUCUACUCAGAGUGCAGCUAGCUGUAGAAGUUAUUGUGAAUGGCAGGACACAUUGAUCACUGACAGUUUGAAUGUACUUGUGGCCUGGGUUCAUCUUGGGGCUAUGUUUGUGUGAGCAUUG